CCUACGGGAGGCAGCAGUGGGGAAUAUUGCACAAUGGGGGAAACCCUGAUGCAGCGACGCCGCGUGAGUGAAGAAGUAAUUCGUUAUGUAAAGCUCUAUCAGCAGGGAAGAAAAUGACGGUACCUGAGUAAGAAGCCCCGGCUAACUACGUGCCAGCAGCCGCGGUAAUACGUAGGGGGCAAGCGUUAUCCGGAUUUAUUGGGUGUAAAGGGUGCGUAGACGGAGAAGCAAGUUAGUUGUGAAAGCCCUGGGCUUAACUGAGGGACUGCAACUAAAACUACGUGCCUUGAGUACUGGAGAGGUAAGUGGAAUUCCUGGUGUAGCGGUGAAAUGCGUAGAUAUUAGGAGGAACACCAGUGGCGAAGGCGACUUUCUGGACAGUAACUGACGUUGAGGCACGAAAGUGUGGGGAGCAAACAGGAUUAGAUACCCCUGUAGUC
rnacentral:rRNA from 1 species